rnacentral:rRNA from 1 species
CAGCAGCCGCGGUAAUACAGAGGGUGCGAGCGUUGUUCGGAAUCACUGGGCGUAAAGCGCGCGCAGGCGGGACUUGCAAGUCGGGAGUGAAAGGCCGGGGCUCAACCCCGGAGCUGCUUUCGAGACUGCGGACCUGGAGACCAGUAGGGGUUGGUGGAAUUCCCGGUGUAGCGGUGGAAUGCGUAGAGAUCGGGAAGAACACCGGUGGCGAAGGCGGCCAACUGGGCUGGAUCUGACGCUGAGGCGCGAAAGCGUGGGGAGCAAACAGGAUUAGAUACCCUGGUAGUCCACGCCGUAAACGAUGGGCACUAGGUGCCGGGGGGAGCGACCCCGUCGGUGCCGUAGCUAACGCGUUAAGUGCCCCGCCUGGGGAGUACGGCCGCAAGGCUGAAACUCAAAGGAAUUGACG